UUGAAACUUUUAAAGAAUAAAUUUCAUAAUUUUUCAAAAUCAUAAUAAAAGUUAUCAAGCGUGCAUAAAAUAAAUAGUCAAAAUUGAACGAUGUCCUAAAAUGGAUGAUCGGGGUUAUUGAUCUUUUAUCUACAUAGUAAAUAAAAUUUUCUAUCAAAAAUUCAAUCAAUUUUGAUUUUUUACAUAGUUAAACUAACAAGUGUCCCAUAUCGGCUGUUAAAAAUUGUCAAUUUUGAGAUCUUUUGAUUGUAAGGUAAAUAAUGUCAAAAAAUUAUAAAAUUUGAUUUCUAAAAGUUUAAAAUGCAUGCUCUAGAUAACGUUUAACGGUAUGGAUCGUUGAUUCGAAAGCUUUAUCAUCGAAAACGACUUAUUAGUACGAAGGCGAUCGUACUCAUAAGAGUAUAGUAUCCGGACUGAGUUACAAUAUUGCAUUGAGAUAUAUG
rnacentral:lncRNA from 1 species